rnacentral:rRNA from 1 species
UACGGAGGGUGCAAACGUUGCUCGGAAUCAUUGGGCGUAAAGCGCACGUAGGCGGCGGCCUAAGCGGGAUGUGAAAGCCCAGGGCUCAACCCUGGAAGUGCAUCCCGAACUGGGUCGCUUGAAUCUCGGAGGGGGACAGAGAAUUCCCGGUGUAGAGGUGAAAUUCGUAGAUAUCGGGAGGAAUACCAGUGGCGAAGGCGCUGUCCUGGACGAAGAUUGACGCUGAGGUGCGAAAGCGCGGGGAGCAAACAGG